GACGCCGCGUGCGGGAUGAAGGCCCUUUGGGUUGUAAACCGCUGUCACAGGUGAGCAAAUCAUAGUGAAUGAAUAAUUCAUUAUGUUGAGUUAAGCUUGAGAGGAAGCCCCCGCUAAUCACGUGCCAGCACCGUCGGUGACUGAGCGGGCUGGCAAGGCGCAUA
rnacentral:rRNA from 1 species